GACGAACCGUGCAAACGUUGUUCGGAAUCACUGGGCUUAAAGGGCGCGUAGGCGGCUCAUCAAGUCGGGGGUGAAAUACUUCAGCUUAACUGGAGAAGUGCCUUCGAUACUGGUGGGCUUGAGGGAGGUAGGGGUCUUUGGAACUUCUGGUGGAGCGGUGAAAUGCGUUGAUAUCAGAAGGAACGCCGGUGGCGAAGGCGGUCUGCUGGGCCGUUGCUGACGCUGAGGCGCGACAGCGUGGGGAGCAAACAGG
rnacentral:rRNA from 1 species